AAUCCUAAAACAAAAGCGCAGAUUGAAAACCUGGUACGGAAUGGGAUGAACAAGGAGCUGCGGGAUCGCCUCUGUUGCAGGCUGACCUUUGGGACUGCUGGACUUCGUUCUGCCAUGGGAGCAGGCUUUUGCUACAUUAAUGACCUUACAGUGAUCCAGUCAACACAGACUCUGGAAAUCUGAUCUAAGCUAUCCUGUGACUGACAACUUUACAGCUACACCAAGAGGUGG